UACGCGUGCUCUUCCGAUUGAAAGACUCUUGUAAGGAGAGACCGCCGGCCCAAAGUAAAAUAUAUCCCACAUGCUCGCUCAAAACAUUAAACCUGCAAGCUUGAUACAUUGUGUUGAUUCGACAAUUUGUAAGAUAUUGAUAUAAAAAGAAGAAAAACGAAAAAAAUGCAAAAAUACUACUUUUCGUAAUAUUUAAUAUUAUAAUAAAAUGAGAAUAGAAACGAAUGAAAGGCGUAACAAUUUUGUAAUACUGUAGGACAACGCAAAUUUUUCAGAUGAAAAUUUUUCCAUCAUUGUACGAACAUCAUUUCAAUGUUCUUUCUUACAAAAAAAAAGAGAAAAAAAAAACAAAAAAGAAAACUUAAAGACGGUUUCUUGCCUUAGUGGGCGGGAUCCUGCCAAAGUGAUUAUUAAACACUAGCCAAAGUAUUAUAAUUUAUUCCCAUUAUAUUGUGCAAGACCACUCACGUACACAAACUUAAGAAGACUACUUUAGACUUAUGGGAUUAUAAAAUAAAAAUCUUAAAAAAAUUUAA
rnacentral:lncRNA from 1 species